rnacentral:snoRNA from 1 species
AUAUUUAAAAUGAUGACGCAUAGUUCAUAUGAUAAACCAUGAUCAAAUCUAUAAGAUUUAUAGCAACUAUGUAAAAUUAUGGUCUUUCGCUCCUAUCUGACAACAAAU